AGAGUUUGAUCCUGGCUCAGAGCGAACGCUGGCGGCAGGCCUAAAACAUGCAAGUCGAACGGACCCUUCGGGGUUAGUGGCGGACGGGUGAGUAACACGUGGGAACGUGCCCUUUGGUUCGGAACAACUCAGGGAAACUUGAGCUAAUACCGGAUGUGCCCUUCGGGGGAAAGAUUUAUCGCCAUUGGAGCGGCCCGCGUCUGAUUAGCUAGUUGGUGAGGUAAAGGCUCACCAAGGCUACGAUCAGUAGCUGGUCUGAGAGGAUGAUCAGCCACACUGGGACUGAGACGCGGCCCAGACUCCUACGGGAGGCAGCAGUUAGGAAUCUUGCGCAAUGGGCGAAAGCCUGACGCAGCCAUGCCGCGUGAAUGAUGAAGGUCUUAGGAUUGUAAAAUUCUUUCAGCGGGGACGAUAAUGACGGUACCCGCAGAAGAAGCUCCGGCUAACUUCGUGCCAGCAGCCGCGGUAAUACGAAGGGGGCUAGCGUUGCUCGGAAUUACUGGGCGUAAAGGGCGCGUAGGCGGACAGCUUAGUCAGAGGUGAAAGCCCAGGGCUCAACCUUGGAACUGCCUUUGAUACUGGCUGUCUUGAGUUCGGGAGAGGUGUGUGGAACUCCGAGUGUAGAGGUGAAAUUCGUAGAUAUUCGGAAGAACACCAGUGGCGAAGGCGACACACUGGCCCGAUACUGACGCUGAGGCGCGAAAGCGUGGGGAGCAAACAGGAUUAGAUACCCUGGUAGUCCACGCUGUAAACGAUGAGUGCUAGUUGUCGGCAUGCAUGCAUGUCGGUGACGCAGCUAACGCAUUAAGCACUCCGCCUGGGGAGUACGGUCGCAAGAUUAAAACUCAAAGGAAUUGACGG
rnacentral:rRNA from 1 species